rnacentral:rRNA from 1 species
UAGGGAAUCUUCGGCAAUGGGGGGAACCCUGACCGAGCAACGCCGCGUGAGUGAAGAAGGUUUUCGGAUCGUAAAGCUCUGUUGUUAAGGAAGAACGAGUGUGAGAAUGGAAAGUUCAUACUGUGACGGUACUUAACCAGAAAGGGACGGCUAACUACGUGCCAGCAGCCGCGGUAAUACGUAGGUCCCGAGCGUUGUCCGGAUUUAUUGGGCGUAAAGCGAGCGCAGGCGGUUAGAUAAGUCUGAAGUUAAAGGCAGUGGCUCAACCAUUGUAUGAUUUGGACACUGUUUAACUUGAGUGCAGAAGGGGAGAGUGGAAUUCCAUGUGUAGCGGUGAAAUGCGUAGAUAUAUGGAGGAACACCGGUGGCGGAAGCGGCUCUCUGGUCUGUUACUGACGCUGAGGCUCGAAAGCGUGGGGAGCGAACAGG